CCCUCUCUUCCUAGGGGUCAUAGGUCUUAUCCCAGCCAUUGCACUUUGAGUGACUAGCACUUUUUCACUGUGCUCUGUUCUAUGGACCUGCUCUCUGGCACAUACCUCACUCACUGAGCCAUCUUGCUGCAGAAAAAGAGCUAAGCUUGGUAGAUCUCUUGAGAAUCUGGUCAAUGGCAAGGAAAAAUCUUGACUCUAAAAAUGGAACAGUUUGUAAUGCUCAACUCACAGUAAUCUACAGUCGCCUGCUGCUCCUGCAAAGAGAAACACAAAGAGCGCCUUGCGGAGGCCUGGGCAGCACCGCAGAUGCCACUGCUCUUGGAAGCCGCUGGCCCAGCGGAAACCUGGAGGCCAGGUUUACCUGCCACCCACUGAACCAUUUUCAGAGAUGGAAAAGGGUCGGCUCACUCUUUUCCCCCUUGGAAAGUACCCUCCAGGGGCUCUCUUCGGGAAACUAAGGUAAAGUCAGUUUUUAAAUGUGUUCAGAUAAUAUAGGUUAUUAGCCUUCAUCUUUCCUACAGCAUGGAGAAUACAGAACAAUGAUAAAUCAAAGACGAUCAGUAUACCACAUAAUGUAAUCACAUACAAGUUAAUAAGAAAAUGAAUUUGUCUGUGCUUUCACUUGAACGUGGGUUCACAAUAUUUACAUUUAAAAUCAGCACGUUUUUGUUUUGUUUUGAGACAGGGUCUUGCUAUGUAGUUCACGUUGGCCUCGAACUCACGGUGAUCCUCCUGCCUCAGCCUCUGGAGUGCUAGGAUUACAGAAGAGCGACACCACACCCAGCUCCUAAAAUAAGCAGUUUUGAAAAUAAUCAGUAUAAAACACACUAACUGUACAUCUAUAUUUCAUAGGAAUGAUUAAGUACAAGAAAGUAAAGCUAUACAGAAAUAUUUCUUUCUGAUCACUUUGUUUACUUAUAUGAUAGAUGUACUUUUUUAACAUGCUUAAUUUUGAAACGUGUUUCUGUAUCAGUGCAAAAUGGUCUGAUGAAUUAUUUUGAAAUUACCAGUUGCUAUUUGUGAAAUAUUUCUAUUAUGCAGCAUGUAUUUAACCACUUAACAGUUUACCCAAGGGUUACUCAGGCAGUACUUUUGUUUACAUGCUAUCCCAAGUGUUACCUGGGCGGGUGCCAUGGCAGCCAGUCCAUUUUUUUUAUUGAAUGAAUUGAUCAAAUUUUCUUUUUUCUACUUCUUGCUAUAUUGUAAAAAUUAAUGGAAAAUGUAAUAUUUGGUCAUCAUGUCUUUAAAUAAUUGGACUGGUAAGUGAUUAAAAGAAAAC
rnacentral:lncRNA from 1 species